rnacentral:rRNA from 1 species
AUGGAGGUGCUUUCUGAGAUUCGUGCUGAGGAGACUCGCUUACGUGGUGCUGGUUUGCUGGAGGUUCCCUCUGUGCUCGCUACUCGUGCUCCUACGCCACCUGCUGCACCGACCCCUUCUCGCUCGAGUGCUCCGCCGCUCUUGCCCACUCCUUCUGGAGGCUCAGGUCGCCCCCGUCCACAUUGCGACUAUUGCAACAAUGAUGGUCAUCUUGAGUCUCAGUGCUACACGAAGAAGAAACACCUGCGCAAGGCUCGAUCAUCAUCUUCAGGGACUUCGUCAUCUACCUCGACAGCUUCAGCCAUUGCUUUGACUGAGCAGAAUAUUCUGAGACUUAAGCGUCUGCUCGCGGCUUUAGGUUCUUCCUCGACGGGUACUGCUGGUUCUAUGACUGAUGCUUCCCGCACUGAGCAAUCACCCUCUACACAGUCAGGUACAUCCCCAUGGGUUCUGGACUUUGGAGCUUCUUUUCAUAUGUCUUCUCAUUCUUCCACUUUGUCCUCUCUUCGAUCACUGGAUUCUCCUGUUCAUGUUUUCACUGCUGAUGGUACUCCACUUUCUGUUGCUAGUAGAGGCAAUCUUACCACUCCUUCUUAUUCUGUUCCUGAUGUUGCUCAUGUUCCUCGACUUACCAUGAAUCUGUUUUCUGCUGGUCAACUUACAGAUUCUGGUUGUCGCGUCAUCCUUGACGUUGACUCUUGUUCUGUCCAGGACCGUCGCACGCACACUCUGGUUGGGGCUGGCCCUCGCCGCCGUGAUUCUCAGGGUCUUUGGGAGUUGGACUGGCUUCAUGUUCCUUCCGCUGCCACCACCAUCGCCAGUUCUUCCGCUUCUGUCGCCUCCGUUACUGGUUCCUUCCAGCAGUGGCAUCAUCGACUUGGUCAUCUGUGUGGUUCUCGGUUGUCUUCUUUAGUUCGUCGAGGUCUUCUGGGGCCUGUCUCAGGAGAUGUCUCUUUAGAGUGUCAGGGUUGUUGUCUUGGCAAGCAGAUUCAGUUACCAUAUUCACAUAGUGAGUCAGUGUCCAAGCGUCCUUUCGAUUUAGUCCAUUCUGAUGUAUGGGGUCCGGCCCCUUUCGCUUCGAAAGGUGGUCAUAAAUACUAUAUUAUUUUCAUAUAUGAUUUCUCUCGUUACACAUGGCUUUAUUUCAUGACUUCUCGUUCUGAGGUGUUGUCUAUUUAUAAGCGUUUUGCUGCCAUGGUUCAUACUCAGUUCUCUUCACCCAUUCGUGUUUUUCGUGCUGACUCCGCUGGCGAGUAUAUCUCUAAGAUGUUGCGUGGUGUUCUUGCUGAGCACGGGACUCUCUCCCAAUUCUCUUGUCCUGCUGCUCAUGCUCAGAAUGGUGUGGCUGAGCGAAAGCAUCGACAUCUUCUUGAGACGGCUCGUGCAUUGAUGAUUGCUGCCUCUCUCCCGCCUCAUUUUUGGGCUGAGGCCGUCUCCACAUCCACCUAUCUUAUCAAUAUACAGCCUUCCGCUGCUCUACAGGGUGGUGUUCCUUUCGAGCGACUUUUUGAUCGUUCUCCCGAUUAUUCGAUGCUUCGCUCGUUUGGUUGUGUUUGCUAUGUUCUUGCCCCUCGUGAACGCACCAAACUGACCGCUCAGUCUGUUGAGUGUGUUUUCUUAGGCUACAGUGAUGAGCAUAAGGGCUAUCGUUGUUGGGAUCCUAUUGGUCGUCGGAUGCGUAUCUCUCGAGACGUGACUUUUGAUGAGUCUCGUCCCUUCUACCCACGCCCAUCUUCCUCGACUUUUUCAGUGCAGGAUAUCUCUUUCCUCACUUUUCCUGACUCACCUAUCACCCCCGUCGAGACUGUACCUCUCCGUUCCACUUCCCCUCCUUCUCCACCUCUAGUUGAUUUGCAGCCACCAUCCUCCCCGGUCUCCUCGCCUAGCAUGUCACCGGGUUCUCCACCUUCAUCUCCGAUGACUUCCUCCCCGGUCUCCUCUCCCAGCCUGUCAUCGGAUUUUACACCUUCAUCUCCGGGGACUUCUUCGUCGCCACCCCCCGAUUCUACCUUGACGAUUCCUCCUUCUAUUAUUCCAUCUUUUCCUCAGCAUUACACUCGUCGUCCACGACCAGUCGAUGCCUCUGUGGAUGAGUCGUCAUCUUCCUCUCAGCCUACUUAUGGCUUGCGUUCUCGUCCUCGUCCGCCUGUUGAUCGCUUUGGAUUUCCCACCGCUGGUGCUGCUGUUCUUGAGCCGACUUCUUACCGUCAGGCUGUUGUUCAUCCUGAAUGGCAGUUUGCGAUGGCAGAGGAGAUUGCUGCUCUUGAACGCACUGGUACCUGGGAUCUUGUUUCUCUUCCUCCCGGAGUCCGUCCGAUCACUUGUAAGUGGGUCUACAAGGUUAAGACUCGCUCCGAUGGUUCUCUUGAGCGUCACAAAGCUCGUCUUGUGGCUCGUGGUUUUCAGCAGGAGCAUGGUCGUGAUUAUGACGAGACUUUUGCUCUUGUGGCCCAUAUGACCACUGUUCGUACACUUCUUGCCGUUGCCUCUGCACGCCACUGGUCUAUAUCUCAGCUUGAUGUUAAGAAUGCCUUUCUUAAUGGUGAGCUGCGUGAGGAGGUGUACAUGCAGCCACCACUUGGGUAUUCUGUUCCUGAUGGCAUGGUAUGUCGUCUUCGUCGCUCUCUCUAUGGCCUUAAGCAAGCCCCCCGCGCCUGGUUUGAGCGCUUUGCCUCUGUGAUCACUGCUGCUGGUUUUUUAGCAAGUGCUCAUGAUCCAGCAUUGUUUAUUCACCUUUCUCCUCGUGGUCGGACUCUUCUUCUUCUUUAUGUUGAUGACAUGAUCAUCACGGGGGAUGACCCCGAGUAUAUUGCCUUUGUAAAGGCCCGUCUUAGUGAGCAGUUUCUUAUGUCUGAUCUUGGACCUCUUCGCUACGUUCUUGGGAUUGAAGUCUCUUCUACCUCUGAUGGCUUUUUUAUAUCCCAGGAAAAGUAUAUCCAGGAUCUUCUUGCUCGUGCUGCUCUUACUGACGAGCGCGUUGUUGAGACUCCUAUGGAGCUCAAUGUUCACCUCCGUGCUACUGAUGGUGAUCCUCUCCCUGACCCAACGCGUUAUCGUCAUCUUGUUGGCAGUCUUGUCUAUCUAGCUGUCACUCAUCCGGACAUCUCUUAUCCGGUUCAUAUUCUGAGUCAGUUUGUCUCUGCUCCCACCUCGGUUCACUAUAGUCAUCUCCUUCGUGUUCUUCGAUAUCUUCGAGGCACGAUCUCUCACCGUCUAUUCUUUCCUCGCUCCAGUUCUUUACAGCUUCAGGCCUAUUCGGAUGCUACGUGGGCUAGUGAUCCUUCAGAUCGCCGUUCACUUUCUGCUUACUGUGUUUUUCUUGGUGGUUCUCUCAUUGCCUGGAAGACGAAGAAACAGCUUGCAGUUUCCCGUUCGAGUGCCGAGGCUGAGUUGCGAGCAAUGGCUCUUUUGACGGCAGAGGUGACUUGGUUACGGUGGUUACUUCAGGAUUUUGGUGUUUCUGUCACUACACCGACUCUGCUCUUAUCUGACAGUACAGGUGCUAUCAGCAUUGCACGCGAUCCUGUGAAGCAUGAGCUCACCAAGCAUAUUGGUGUUGAUGCUUUCUAUGUGCGCGCUGGUGUGCAGGAUCAGGUUAUUGCUCUUCAGUAUGUGCCUUCCGAGUUACAGUUGGCGGAUUUCCUGACGAAGGCUCAGACUAGAGCACAACAUGGCUUUUAUCUCUCCAAACUCAGUGUUGUUCAUCCACCAUGA